rnacentral:rRNA from 1 species
ACGAACGCUGGCGGCGUGCUUAACACAUGCCAGUCGCACGGAAAGGCCUCUUUCGGGGGGUACUCGAGUGGCGAACGGGUGAGUAACACGUGAGUAACCUGCCCUUGACUUUGGGAUAACUUCAGGAAACUGGGGCUAAUACCGGAUAGGAGCUCCUGCUGCAUGGUGGGGGUUGGAAAGUUUCGGCGGUUGGGGAUGGACUCGCGGCUUAUCAGCUAGUUGGUGGGGUAGUGGCUUACCAAGGCUUUGACGGGUAGCCGGCCUGAGAGGGUGACCGGCCACAUUGGGACUGAGAUACGGCCCAGACUCCUACGGGAGGCAGCAGUGGGGAAUAUUGCACAAUGGGUGGAAGCCUGAUGCAGCAACGCCGUGUGCGGGAUGACGGCCUUCGGGUUGUAAACCGCUUUCGCUCAUGACGAAGCUUUGUGUGACGGUAGUGGGUAAAGAAGCACCGGCUAACUACGUG